rnacentral:rRNA from 1 species
UGGGGGAAUAUUGGACAAUGGGCGCAAGCCUGAUCCAGCCAUGCCGCGUGAGUGAUGAAGGCCCUAGGGUUGUAAAGCNCUUUCACCGGUGAAGAUAAUGACGGUAACCGGAGAAGAAGCCCCGGCUAACUUCGUGCCAGCAGCCGCGGUAAUACGAAGGGGGCUAGCGUUGUUCGGAUUUACUGGGCGUAAAGCGCACGUAGGCGGACUUUUAAGUCAGGAGUGAAAUCCCGGGGCUCAACCCCGGAACUGCCUUUGAUACUGGAAGUCUUGAGUAUGGUAGAGGUGAGUGGAAUUCCGAGUGUAGAGGUGAAAUUCGUAGAUAUUCGGAGGAACACCAGUGGCGAAGGCGGCUCACUGGACCAUUACUGACGCUGAGGUGCGAAAGCGUGGGGAGCAAAACAGGAUUAGAUACCCUGGUAGUCCACGCCGUAAAACGAUGAAUGUUAGCCGUUGGGGAGUUUACUCUUCGGUGGCGCAGCUAACGCAUUAAACAUUCCGCCUGGGGGAGUACGGUCGCAAGAUUAAAAACUCAAAAUG